rnacentral:rRNA from 1 species
AGGAAUAUUGGUCAAUGGACGAGAGUCUGAACCAGCCAAGUAGCGUGAAGGAUGACUGCCCUAUGGGUUGUAAACUUCUUUUAUACGGGAAUAAAGUGAGGCACGUGUGCCUUUUUGUAUGUACCGUAUGAAUAAGGAUCGGCUAACUCCGUGCCAGCAGCCGCGGUAAUACGGGGGAUCCGAGCGUUAUCCGGAUUUAUUGGGUUUAAAGGGAGCGUAGGCGGACGCUUAAGCCAGUUGUGAAAGUUUGCGGCUCAACCGUAAAAUUGCAGUUGAUACUGGGUGUCUUGAGUACAGUAGAGGCAGGCGGAAUUCGUGGUGUAGCGGUGAAAUGCUUAGAUAUCACGAAGAACUCCGAUUGCGAAGGCAGCUUGCUGGACUGUAACUGACGCUGAUGCUCGAAAGUGUGGGUAUCAAACAGGAUUAGAUACCCUGGUAGUCCACACAGUAAACGAUGAAUACUCGCUGUUUGCGAUAUACAGUAAGCGGCCAAGCGAAAGCGUUAAGUAUUCCACCUGGGGAGUACGCCGGCAACGGUGAAACUCAAAGGAAUUGACGGGGGCCCGCACAAGCGGAGGAACAUGUGGUUUAAUUCGAUGAUACGCGAGGAACCUUACCCGGGCUUGAAUUGCAACUGAAUGAUGUGGAGACAUGUCAGCCGCAAGGCAGUUGUGAAGGUGCUGCAUGGUUGCCGUCAGCUCGUGCCGUGAGGUGUCGGCUUAAGUGCCAUAACGAGCGCAACCCUUAUCGAUAGUUACCAUCAGGUUAUGCUGGGGACUCUGUCGAGACUGCCGUCGUAAGAUGUGAGGAAGGUGGGGAUGACGUCAAAUCAGCACGGCCCUUACGUCCGGGGCUACACACGUGUUACAAUGGGGGGUACAGAAGGCAGCUACACGGCGACGUGAUGCUAAUCCCGAAAGCCUCUCUCAGUUCGGAUUGGAGUCUGCAACCCGACUCCAUGAAGCUGGAUUCGCUAGUAAUCGCGCAUCAGCCACGGCGCGGUGAAUACGUUCCCG